CCCACGGCUGGUGCAUCGUGGCGGCGCAGGUCAGCCUGAUGAGCUGACAUCGUCCGGCGCUUCGCCCGAUCAACGCGGGCCGAGCGCC
rnacentral:tRNA from 1 species